rnacentral:rRNA from 1 species
UACGAAGGGGGCUAGCGUUGCUCGGAAUCACUGGGCGUAAAGGGUGCGUAGGCGGGUCUUUAAGUCAGGGGUGAAAGCCCGGGGCUCACCCCCGGAAGUGCAUUGGAUACUGGCGGACUCGAGUCUCGGAGAGGAGGGUGGAAUUCCUGGUGUAGCGGUGAAAUGCGUAGAUAUCAGGAGGAACACCGGUGGCGAAGGCGGCCCUCUGGACGAUGACUGACGCUGAGACGCGAAAGCGUGGGGAGCAAACAGG